rnacentral:rRNA from 5 species
UGUGAGGCGUUGAGCUAACCAAUACUAAUUGCCCGUGAGGCUUGACCAUAUAACACCCAAGCAAUU